rfam:Anopheles melas strain CM1001059_A cont2.19834, whole genome shotgun sequence.
CAAUCGGCUCUUUUCAGAGCCACCGAUUCUUUAUUAACACUUUGAC